rnacentral:rRNA from 1 species
AACCCCCCAGAAUGCCUAGUAACGGCGAGUGAAGCGGCAAAAGCUCAAAUUUGAAAUCUGGCUCUUUCAGGGUCCGAGUUGUAAUUUGUAGAAGAUGCUUUGGGUGUGGUUCUGGUUUAAGUUCUUUGGAAUAUUACAUCAUAGAGGGUGAGAAUCCCGUAUGUGACCAGUCGCCACGCCCGUGUAAAGCUCUUUCAACGAGUCGAGUUGUUUGGGAAUGCAGCUCAAAAUGGGAGGUAUAUUUCUUCUAAAGCUAAAUAUUGGCCAGAGACCGAUAGCGCACAAGUAGAGUGAUCGAAAGAUGAAAAGCACUUUGGAAAGAGAGUUAAACAGUACGUGAAAUUGUUGAAAGGGAAGCGCUUGCAACCAGACUUGCACGCAGUUGAUCAUCCGGUGUUCUCACCGGGGCACUCUGCUGCGUUCAGGCCAGCAUCGUUUUCGGUGGUUGGAUAAAGGCCCAGGGAAUGUAGCUUCUUUCGGGGAGUGUUAUAGCCCUGGGUGCAAUGCAGCCUACCGGGAGCGAGGACCGCGCUUCGGCUAGGAUGCUGGCGUAAUGGUUGUAAGCGGCCCGUCUUGAACCACGGACCAAAUUACUAUC